UUGAACGCUGGCGGCAUGCUUUACACAUGCAAGUCGAACGGUAACAGGCCUUCGGGUGCUGACGAGUGGCGAACGGGUGAGUAAUGCAUCGGAACGUACCCAGAGGUGGGGGAUAACGCAGCGAAAGCUGUGCUAAUACCGCAUGUGAUCUGAGGAUGAAAGAGGGGGACCGAGCAGCAAUGUUUGGCCUCGCGCCUUUGGAGCGGCCGAUGUCGGAUUAGCUAGUUGGUGGGGUAAAGGCCUACCAAGGCGACGAUCCGUAGCUGGUCUGAGAGGACGACCAGCCACACUGGGACUGAGACACGGCCCAGACUCCUACGGGAGGCAGCAGUGGGGAAUUUUGGACAAUGGGCGCAAGCCUGAUCCAGCAAUGCCGCGUGCGGGAAGAAGGCCUUCGGGUUGUAAACCGCUUUUGGCAGGAACGAAACGGUGUCCGCUAAUACCGGGCGCUAAUGACGGUACCUGCAGAAUAAGCACCGGCUAACUACGUG
rnacentral:rRNA from 1 species